CCCCUAGAUGUUCUGGGCCGCACGCGCGCUACACUGAACAGUUCAACAAGUCUUAACCUUGGCCGAUAGGUCUGGGUAAUCUUUGAACGCUGUUCGUGAUUGGGAUAGACCUUUGCAAUUAUGGGUCUUCAACGAGGAAUUCCUAGUGAACGCAAGUCAUCAGCUUGCAUUGAUUACGUCCCUGCCCUUUGUACACACCGCCCGUCGCACCUACCGAUUGAAUGGUCCGGUGAAAUCUCGGGACGGCGGCUUGGUCGCUUGCGUCCGACUGCUGAAACUUGAUUAAACCAUAUCAUUUAGAGGAAGGUGAAGUCGUAACA
rnacentral:rRNA from 1 species